rnacentral:rRNA from 1 species
UACAGAGGGUGCGAGCGUUGUCCGGAAUCACUGGGCGUAAAGGGCGCGUAGGUGGCCCGACAAGUCUGUGGUGAAAGCUCGACGCUCAACGUCGAGUCGGCCAUAGAUACUGUUGGGCUGGAGCACUGUAGAGGCUCAUGGAAUUCCGGGUGUAGCGGUGGAAUGCGUAGAGAUCGGAAAGAACACCAACGGCGAAAGCACUCUGCUGGGCCGACACUGACACUGAGAGACGAAAGCUAGGGGAGCGAAUGGG